rnacentral:lncRNA from 1 species
UAUUUCAUUUCAUUUAUAUAUAGAUUAUAUAUUAUAUAUAGAGUUAUAAAUUUACAUUGUUCAACCAUAUAUUACACGGGUGCUUAUCUUCUUAAGAAAUACAAUAAUGAGAUAUGCCUACUCCUUUAACCUGUUUAACACUGUAGCGUAAAUGGCUCAGCCCGUGUUACAGGUGAUAAUCUUUAUAUCUACGGUUGUGUUUAAUAAAAUUUAAAUAUCCUAACCCGU